AAGGGACCCAUCAAGAUCAUCGGCUCCAACUCCUGGCCCUGCACAAGACACUCCAAGAAUCACAUGAUGUGCCUGAGAGCAUUGUCCAAACACUCCCUAAGCUCAGAGAGGCUUGGUCCUGUAACCACUUCCUUGGAGAGCCUGUUCCAGUGCCCAAGCACUCUCUGGUUGAAAAACCUUUUCCUGGUAUCUAACCUAAACCUUCCCUGACACAGCUUCAUGUGAUGGUAGUGACAGUUUUUGGGCCUCAGCUCCUGAGACACAAUGUCUCAGGGAAGACAUUCAGCUUGGCCUAAGUCAGCACUCAGCACAUUACCUGGAGGGCUCAAGGCACAGUGAGAGGCAUCCUCUCAGCAACAUGAUUCAGAACUGGCACUGCAUCACAUUGGCAGAGAAGUAACAGGCCCUCCUUCAGGGAUGCAGUGACACGAGUGAACACAGCUCAUGUGUUGCAAAAUGCAAAUGCUACUGGUUUGACCUGAUCUGGGCAUGCACCAAUUUUCCUUCACAUCAUCCAGUUACUUCUGAUAUAUAAAAUGCUUCUGGCUCAUUAGACCUGGAAGGAAAUCCAAGUUGUUAUUUUCAGGAAGCCAGAAGUAUCUGCAGCUUGUGCAGAUUGGUUUUGACAUCUGCUGCCUUUCAAAAAAAGGAGCCAAUACUGAGAAUUCACACCUGGAUUUUCAUCUCUAGUUAAAAGACACCUCCAAAACUUCCUAAUGUAGUUGCUGUACAUACUGAUCAAGCAAGCUUUCUUGUCACAGUGACUGUCAGUCCUGUUCCACAUGACUGAACUGAAACCUAUAGUCCUGGAAAGAGGGAAGAUGAAGCCAGUGAGGGAAAGAUUUUAGCUGCAAGUUCACAACAGGAUAUUUUGGAGGAAAGCAAUUCCCCAGUCUGUCUUUCCAAUACCCCUCUCAGACACAUUUUCUAAAACUUGGUAAAAAGUCCCAUCUGGAGCUGUUUUAUGCUGCAGAUGUUUACACAUUUAUCUCUAGGAAUGACAGGAUCUUGAUAGCCUUCAGCAUAGUGUCUUCUUCACAUUCCACAGUCCUUUCUCCUUGCACAUUACUGGAUGGAGAGCACAGCUAGAAAGUCAGAAGAUACAACUGAAAAAAGAAACAGAAGUGUGA